AGAUGCUGUGACAAAAAUUGAGAAAGGUAUGCUGAGAUGGUUUGGACAUGUCGAGAGAAUGAAUGAAGAACGAUUGACGAAGAAAGUGUAUAAGGCCAGUGUGAAUGAAAGUGUUGGAAGGGGUAGACCUAGGCGGACGUUUCAAGAUCAAAUCAGGGACGUCUUGAAAAAAGGCCAGGUCAAGAGUACCCUAAACCGGAGAGCAUGUAUGAAAGGAAUAAUGAAAGUGGACGAAGCGAAAGAAGUAUGUAAAGAUCGUAGCAAGUGGAAAGAAGUGGUCUCCGCCUACCCCUACGGGAAAGAGGCGUGAUUUUAUGUAUGUAUGUAUAAACAUCAUCUCAUGUACCUACGUACAUAAACAUCAUCUGAGCGUGAUCCCGUACUCAAAGACUUCUUGAUUUUCGCCUUCUCUUGGCUGUAGGUACUUCUGAUGUUGUUGAUUUUUUUGUUUACAUCCUCGAGAGUGCUGUCGAAAAUAAAAGUUUCCACAAUCGCUGGAUUGCCGCAUUCCUCGCGUCUUUAUUUUUAUAUUCGCGUAAUUUUAGGUUCCAGAGAACUUCUUCUGCUUCGUAAAGUUCAAUAAAUCUAGUAGUAUCACACUCAGACCAUUUUUUUAUUGCACGAGACGCUUGUGAAUUGUUAUUCGCCGCCAUUUUGUUUUACAAUUGCGGCCAGAGCUAGCUCGGAACAAUAGAACGCGGUCCGAGUCAACCCAGAUCGGACGGCGUAGUCCGAGUGCGCUCGGAUUAUGGGCUGCCACAAUACGAGUAACGUCCGAGUGGGUAUCCAAGUGUGCUCGGUCCGAAGAUACUUUGAUUGUGUCAACGCGGCCUAAGCGAUCGCAAGAUAACCAGUGGUAUUCCUCAAACCACGGUUACAACCCUCAAUACAACUGAUGACGCUGUGCAUCACACUCCAUCAAGGAAGAGAAGACCACAUGUCAUUUUAAAGAAAAUGAAACUUUCACCUCAUUGUGCAAGUCUUUAUUGUGAAUUUACCAAAUCACGAAAGCAGCUUAACUUUGAUUUAAGAGCUAAAAGUGCAUUUUCACAGAAAAUCAUUUAUAAAGCUUACAGAGAAAAUGAACCCUAUUGCAAAGACAUUUUUGUGGAUGCAGAUUAAAUAGGCUUACAAUAAGUUUAAAACGAAAAUGAAAAAAAAAAUAAGAUAACAUGA